rnacentral:rRNA from 2 species
UACGAGGGGUCCAAGCGUUGUUCGGAAUCACUGGGCGUAAAGCGGGUGUAGGUGGCUAGGCAAGUUGGAUGUGAAAGCCCCGGGCUCAACCCGGGAAGUGCAUCCAAAACUACUUAGCUUGAGUAAGGGAGAGGAUAGGAGAAUUCUUGGUGUAGUGGUGAAAUACGUAGAUAUCAAGAGGAACACCGGUGGCGAAGGCGCCUAUCUGGCCCAUUACUGACACUCAGACCCGAAAGCGUGGGUAGCAAACAGG